CCUACGGGUGGCUGCAGUGAGGAAUAUUGGUCAAUGGGAGAGAUCCUGAACCAGCCAAGCCGCGUGAGGGAAGACGGCCCUAUGGGUUGUAAACCUCUUUUGUCGGAGAACAAAACCCGGGACGUGUCCCGGACUGCGUGUAUCCGACGAAAAAGCAUCGGCUAACUCCGUGCCAGCAGCCUCGGUACUACGGGGGAUGCGAGCGUUAUCAGGAUUUAUUGGGUUUAAAGGAAACGUAGGCGGUCCGUUAAGUCAGCGGGAAGAUGGAGGGGACCAACCCCGUCGAGCCGUUGACACUGGCAGACUUGAGUGGGCGAGAAGUACGCGGAAUGCGCGGUGUAGCGGUGAAAUGCAUAGAUAUCGCGAAGAACUCCGAUGGCGAAGGCAGCGUACCGGCGCCAGACUGACGCUGAGGCACGAAAGCGUGGGGAUCGAACAGGAUUAGAUACCCUUGUAGUC
rnacentral:rRNA from 1 species